UACGAAGGGGGCUAGCGUUGUUCGGAAUUACUGGGCGUAAAGCGCACGUAGGCGGACUAUUAAGUCAGGGGUGAAAUCCCGGAGCUCAACUCCGGAACUGCCAUUGAAACUGUAAGACUUGAGGAUGAGAGAGGUGAGUGGAAUUCCCAGUGUAGAGGUGAAAUUCGUAGAUAUUGGGAAGAACACCGGUGGCGAAGGCGGCUCACUGGCUCAUAUCUGACGCUCAGGCGCGACAGCGUGGGGAUCAAACAGG
rnacentral:rRNA from 1 species